ACACCCCCCCCUUCCCCGGCACAAAACAGCACAUUUUUUUUAACUCCUCCUUCCCCUUUUCCAGYGAGUUUCCGCCAUCCCUCCCGCAUGCCGCUUUUGGGUUAAAAAACAAGGAUUUUGGCACUUACUCUGCGGCGCGGCGACACCGGUACCUACAAUAUUUUACAGCCGGAGCGUGAUGAUGCUGGAUUUUGGGUUGAUUUUGCUUUUUUUUGUUGUUGUUCUUUUCCUUUUUUUUUUUGUUCCUUUUUUUUUUGUUUUUUUGUUCCGAUUUUUUUUUUUCACCGUUUCUUUCCCAUUUUGACCCAAAUAUCUACGCCGCGGCGGUGAGUUUUGGGGCGCUUUGUGGCCAAAAAAACGGCGCCUGCAACGACAAGAGCCCCGCGCCCUCCCUCGCCACCCCCACGACCCCCCCCCGAAACCGAGGGGGGGCCCUCACCGCGCCCCGGCGUCUCCGCUGCUCCGUUUUGGGGCCGAUUCCGCCAAUUUGCGCCGAUUUUCGGUCAGCUUCACCACGCUCCGGCUCGCCUCCCGUUUUUUAACUCUGCCUCCGCCGUCUUCUACUUCCUCUCUUUUUCUUCUAUUUCCUCUCUUUUUCUUCUAUUUCCUCUCUUCUAUUUUCUCUAUUUUCUUCUAUUUUCUCUAUUUUCUUCUAUUUCCUCUAUUUUCU
rnacentral:lncRNA from 1 species